rnacentral:rRNA from 1 species
UACAGAGGUCUCAAGCGUUGUUCGGAUUCAUUGGGCGUAAAGGGUGUGUAGGUGGCGCCGUGAGUCGGGUGUGAAAUUUCGGAGCUUAACUCCGAAACUGCAUUCGAUACUGCGGUGCUUGAGGACUGGAGAGGAGACUGGAAUUCAUGGUGUAGCAGUGAAAUGCGUAGAGAUCAUGAGGAAGACCAGUGGCGAAGGCGGGUCUCUGGACAGUUCCUGACACUGAGACACGAAGGCCAGGGAGCAAACGGG